CUGUGCCUAUUUUUAGGGCCACUGUUUCAUUUGCGCACAAUUUAGAGCUUAGCAGGCAAUCAGGUAACCAUAAUAGGCUAAUGGUGUAGCUGGUUGAGAACGCACUACAAGCUGCUGCACUGUGAAAGAAAACUGAUUUCUUAACGUAUGAGCGCACGGUCUUCGGGCAGUUGGCUCAAGGAGAGCCUGAGGGUCAGGGCGUUGGCAGCGGAUGGAGGUGCUGGAAGCAGGAGGCAGGAACCCAGAGCGGGAG